GACGAACGCUGGCGGCGUGCUUAACACAUGCAAGUCGAACGAUGAAGCCAGCUUGCUGGUGGAUUAGUGGCGCACGGGUGAGUAACACGUGGGUGAUCUGCCCCAAACUUUGGGAUAAGCCUGGGAAACUGGGUCUAAUACCGAAUAUGACCGAUACUCGCAUGGGUGUUGGUGGAAAGCUCCGGCGGUUUGGGAUGGGCCCGCGGCCUAUCAGCUUGUUGGUGGGGUAAUGGCCUACCAAGGCGACGACGGGUAGCCGGCCUGAGAGGGCGACCGGCCACACUGGGACUGAGACACGGCCCAGACUCCUACGGGAGGCAGCAGUGGGGAAUAUUGCACAAUGGGCGCAAGCCUGAUGCAGCGACGCCGCGUGAGGGAUGACGGCCUUCGGGUUGUAAACCUCUUUCACCAGGGACGAAGCGAAAGUGACGGUACCUGGAGAAGAAGCACCGGCCAACUACGUG
rnacentral:rRNA from 1 species